ensembl:lncRNA
GCAUGAUGAGGAGAAACCUGAAAGAUGAUUGCAAAGCCACUGUCACACUGUGAACAAUUAGAAGAUGAAGAAGAGGUUCUCGAGAAGCAGCCAGUCCAUGAGCGAGGGAAGAGGCAGUGUGAGGGAUGGAAGAGGAAAGCUUGGCCGGACUCAGAAAUGUCCUCUGUGAACAGUGAAGCCAAAAUAGGUUUCCUGUUGGACUGAACUCAAGAGUAGGGUCUGGAGAAAGUGAGCAAAAGAACCUCCUUUCUCUGGCUGAAGGAACUCAGAGCAAGAACUCCAAUACUCACUGGGAUAAGAGCUGGAAACAAGAAAUAAAAGGAGAUGCCUGUGCUAGGAAAGGCUUGUAGGGGGAGCUAUCUGCCACAGCUAAGCAAGGUCGAACAUCUACUUGAAACUUGUAUAGACCAGAAUGGAGUUCCGGUCCAGAGCUCCCUCAUACCAGACGAGUGGAGCCCCACAGAAACGGAAGUUUUCUUCUUUGUAACCUCAGUCCCUGGAAGUAUUUAGCAUUGAAUGAUCCGUGGGUCGUUGUCUCAGAGGGGAAGAAGGGAAGAAGAUACGGCUGAAGUCCUUUAUAGGGUCAUUCUCCUGCGCUGACAGUCCAGCCUACUCAGUCCGGCCUGGAGGAGGAAGCCCAGAUCUAGAGAAGAAAAAACAGUGGUUGGAGUUUAAGAGGGUUGCCUGGAGUCCCACAGCCACUGGUGGCUCAGAUGGACCUUAAACCCACAACAUCAGAGACAUCGAGCCAACACUCUCCUAUAAACAUUCUUAAUAAAUUAAACCCGUUCACGAGGAAUGAAGCACGAGACAGAAGAGUGAGUGUGCCGAUUAAAACUCAAGAAGGCACAUUUCUCCAAUCAUGACCUGGGAGUCCUGGAGCCUUGCGUGCAAGCUGAGCCAUAACCCAAGGCUUAACAUAAACUUUGGACUCUCAGGUCAUUGGGAAAUAACAGGUAUAUCCGGUUGGGCCUUUUGUGCUUGUCUGCACGCAAAUUAAAAGCUCGUGCAAAGCUGAACUCCUUGGAGCCUCUGGUUAGGGAGAAGGGAGGGUGCCUUGGAAGAGAAUUCUCACACGAUCUCCCUGUUUAUUUUUUCAGGGAAUCAGGGGAUAGAGCUUGUUUAUGAGGAGUUUGCACCUCUGGGAGGCUGAGCUCAGAAGGGGCGGGAUGUGGUGGUGGCCUUGAGCCAGAUGGUCCGUGGGGGAGCAAUGCUCCAAAGGAUCCCAAGUCAGAGCUUUGAAAGGGCACAGUUCUUACAGACCUUCAGGGAGCGGGUGGAGGUGGGGGGCCAAUGCCCGUGCCUCCCUGCUGGUGGUAACAGUGGAAGAGAGCUUGCAGGGGCAGAGCUGAGUGGGGAGGGCCACAGGAGGGGGCCUGAAACCAAGGGGCCAUGCACCCAGGCACCAAGAGCUGUCACCUUGGCUCCCCCCUUCCCUUUGGAUGACCCCAAUAUGAUGAGGCUCUGAAGCCUCCAGGGGGCCGGUUGGAGUGGGAAAGGAGUGUCCACUCUGUGCCCAGGCUUCCUCCAAUGGGAAGCUGAAUGAUCACGUCUCCAGCCCUUGAACUGCGGGGAUUUUCUCCAUCCGGAGUUGGCCCACCUGGUGUGGCUGGGAGGCAGAAGAGAGUUUUUGGGGUCUGGAAGACCUGAAUUCAAGUUUCAGCUUGGGUGUCACAGGAGCUGUGUGACUUUGGUUGAUAACUCCACCUUCUCCCACCUUGCUGUAUUUGUUUGUAGAAAAGGGAUUAUGGUAAUAGUCACCUCCAAAGGUUGGUUGUGAGCGAUUAAUGAGAUGAUUUAUGUCAAGUGCUUGGCACACUGCCUGGCUCAAAGUGCUAAAUAAAUGGUAGAUCUGACAUUAUUAGUAGUAUAUUAUUAUUGCUACUAUUGCUGUUAUUGGCAGAGCUGCCAUUCAAAUUGCCACUGCAAUUACAGGCUGUGGCUCAGAUGCCCUAAGCCCUCUAAGAUCACACCUAAGGGGGACACCCUCCCACCCCGACCUCUUGCACUGUGCCAUGCUCAGACACCUGAUUCAGAUACUUUCAGGGCUCUGGGCAGCGGAGAUUUGGGUACCUUGGUUUCUCUCAUCUUCCUGAUCCUGCUUAGGGGUUAAGGUACAACAUCAUCCUGGCCAGCCCCUGCGGGUGGUACCACUGCAACAGCCUGGAGGGGUUGCAGCGCUGUUUAAAUGUGCCCACACUUGUCUCCAGGGCUUUCCUCCUCAGAUCGGUAGCUGGGGCAUCACUCCCUCUGAAAUCCAUCCCCACGCCCACCAACUUCCCAUACCAAGACUAUAGCCCUUUAGCUAUUUCUUGGAUGGAGAUACUCGCAAGAAAAAUCACACUUUUAAGCUUAAAGAGCUGUUCCCAAAGUGUGGUCCAGGGACUUCUUGGGAGAGUGGGUGGUCCCUGAGACUCCUUCAGGAGAUCCACAAGGGUAAAACUAUGGUCAUAAGGUAUUCUUUGCCUUUCUCACUCUCUGUCACAAGUUUACCAGGGGUCUCCCAGGGGCCACAUGAUAUUUGAUAUCGCUAAUGUUGAAUGCAGAAUCAGAUAGGGGUCUUCAGUUGUCUUCUGUUAAGUCAGAAAUUAAAGAGAUUUGUAAAAAUGUAAAACAAUGCCACUCUUACUAAAUAUUUUUGGUGUUAGAAAAUACAGUUAUUUGCCAAAUGUUAUUUAUGUUAACAUGAACUAGGUUUAUUAUUUUUUAAUGAAUAAAUAUUUUACAUUUUGUUCCAUUUUCAUUUCUAAAAUUGUA